UAAAAUAAUUAAGGGCACACAAAGGAUGCCUAGGUAGUAAGAGCCGAUGAAGGACGUGGUAAGCUGCGAUAAGCCUAGAUAAGUUGCAAUCGAACGUAAGAGUCUAGGAUUUCCGAAUGGAGCAAUCUAUUAAGAUGGAGUCUUAAUACGAAAGAGGGAACCGCGUGAACUGAAACAUCUAAGUAACGCGAGGAAAAGAAAGUAAAAACGAUACCCGAAGUAGCGGCGAGCGAAACGGGUCAAGCCUAAACCUUAAAUAUGUCAAGGAUACAGCCGUUGUAUUUAAGGGGUUGUGGGACAGAGUGAUGAAGAACUGUAAGAUAUUCAAUAUAGUGUAUUGAUGAAUUAGAAUUGUCUGGAAAGGUGAACCGCAGAAGGUGAAAGUCCUGUAUAAGUAAAUCCUUACACAUAUAACUUUGCUCCCAAGUAACAUGGAACACGAGGAAUUCUGUGUGAAUCAGUGAGGACCAUAUCUCAUAAGGCUAAAUACUCUUACUAACCGAUAGCGCAUAGUACCGUGAGGGAAAGGUGAAAAGAACCCCUGGAGGGGAGUGAAAUAGAACCUGAAAUUGUGUGCUUACAAGCGGUCAGAGCCCAUUUGGGUGAUGGCGUGCCUUUUGGAGAAUGAUCCUGCGAGUUACGUUAAACGGCGAGGUUAAGUAUAACGGAGCCGAAGGGAAACCAAGUCUUAAUAGGGCGAUUUAGUCGUUUGGCGUAGACGCGAAACCUGGUGAUCUAAACCUGUCCAGGAUGAAGCUGUGGUAAGACACAGUGGAGGUCCUAACCCACCGCCGUUGAAAAGUUGGGGGAUGAGGUAGGUUUAGGGGUGAAAAGCCAAUCGAACCAGGAGAUAGCUCGUUCUCUCCGAAAUGCAUCUAGGUGCAGCCUUGAGUGUUCAAUUAUGGGGGUAGAGCACUGAAUGAUCUAGGGGGCAUAUUGCUUACUGAAAUCAAUCAAACUCCGAAUACCAUAAUUUAUAGCUCAGGAGUGAGACUAUGGGAGUUAACUUCCAUUGUCAAAAGGGAAACAACCCAGACCACCAGCUAAGGUCCCUAAUUAUAACUAAGUGGGAAAGGAGGUGGAGAUUCACAAACAACUAGGAGGUUGGCUUAGAAGCAGCCAUACCUUUAAAGAGUGCGUAAUAGCUCACUAGUCGAGAGUCUCUGCGCCGACAAUGUAACGGGGCUAAGUUAUAAACCGAAGCUGUGGAAUCCUUUUGGAUUGGUAGGAGAGCGUUCUGUAGGCCGUUGAAGAAGAAGGGUAACCGACUUUGGAGGUAUCAGAAGUGAGAAUGCAGGAAUAAGUAGCGAGAAAGGGGGCGAGAAUCCCCCUCGCCGGAAGACCAAGGUUUUCAGGGUAAAGCUUGUCUUCCCUGAGUAAGCCGGGACCUAAGCCCAGGCUAUAAUGCGUAGGCGAAUGGAAAACAGAUUAAUAUUUCUGUGCCAGUCAUUUAUUGUGAUGGAGGGACGCAGAAGGGUAUGCGCGCGGACGAUCGGUUGUGUCCGUAGAAGUAUGUAGGAUGACUUAGUAGGUAAAUCCAUUAAGUUAUAUCUGAGGUAUGAUAUACAGUCGUAAGAUGAAUGCGCAAAUCCCACGCUGCCAAGAAAAGCUUCUAACGUUAAUAUAUGACUGCCCGUACUGUAAACCGACACAGGUGGUCAGGAUGAGAAAUCUAAGGCGGACAGGCUAACUCUCGUUAAGGAACUCUGCAAAAUAACCUCGUAACUUCGGGAGAAGAGGAGCCCUUGGGUGUUAGUAUCCAUGCGAUACAAAGCGCUCGAGGGUCGCAGUGAAGAGGCUCAAGCAACUGUUUAACAAAAACACAGGUCUAUGCUAAGCUGGAAGGCGAUGUAUAUGGGCUGACACCUGCCCAGUGCUGGAAGGUUAAGAGGAGGAGUGAGAGCUCCGAAUUGAAGCCCCAGUGAACGGCGGCCGUAACUAUAACGGUCCUAAGGUAGCGAAAUUCCUUGUCGGGUAA
rnacentral:rRNA from 1 species